UUGCAUCCUGAUGUUUCCAAUAUUCCAUAAGAGAUUAAGUUUCUACUCAUACCAGGCAUAUAUCGUACGCCUGUUAGAACCACAGUAGACCCAUUGGGAUUUAGAAUUUUAAUCUUUCCAACUCCUUGAAUGUUGCUAUGCGUGUUAUUUGCCAUUAACACUUUUCCACCUUUGAAUUCUUCCAGGUCAAACAAGAAGCUCUUGUCUGGUGUAAUGUGGAACGAGCAGCCAGAGUCCAUCACCCAUUCGUCCUUGGAGUAUUGGGUGCUCACGGUGAGGAUUAGAGGUUCCUUGGACUCUGCCACAACAUUUGUUGAGUCUGGCGUUUUGUAAGGUUUCUUAUCAGGGCAGUCACGCUUCCAGUGGCCCUCCUUCCCGCAUACAAAACAUCCCUUUGAGCCUUUGGUGUUCCUAGGACGCGACUUGGAACGUCCCUGUCUGCUCUUGGAUCUUCCCCUGUAGGAUUUUCCAUUUCUUUUGCCAGAGCGUUGGUCUGAUCUUCCUCUGUCUGUCACCAUCAGACCUUCUCCACCAGACCUGGUAAACUUACCACUCUCAAUCAACUCUCUUUCUUUCGACCUUGCAGCCCCUGUAACCUCAGCUAGGCUUAGGGUGUCUCUUCCAUACUUGAGAGUCUCUUUGAGUUGAUCAUACUUGUUUGGUAGAGAACUUAGCAAUAGGAUAGCUUGAACUUCCUCGGAUACUUCAACUUGCAAAUUGUUUAAAUCUGCAACUAGCUUCAAGAAUUCAUCCACAUUCUCAUCAAUGGAUUUUGAGUCGGCCAUCUUAAAAGUGUAGAACCUAAGCUGUAGAUAAAUCCUGUUUGGUAGAGAUGUCUCUGUGUACAACUUGUUUAGUGUACUCCACAUUGCAGCAGCAGUUUCACAAUGUUGAAUUUUCCUUAAGACUUUGUUCCCUACAUUCAGCACAAUUAGGUCCUUAGCUUUCUCUGAUUUUUCAAACUUUGCAGGAUCAAUUUCAGGUGUGGGCGCAACAAGCCCAGCUAGCCCCUUCCUAGUGUCCUUUAUGGCAGACUCGGGUUCAUCCUUAGGAUUCACGUCAUCCUUCAAAAGCUUCUCAUCGGUGAGAAUAGCUUUCAGUCCAAGCACUCCAAAGUGAGCAAGCAUUCUCACUUUCCAUAGGGCGAAGUCACCAUCUCCUUCGAAACGGUCGAUCUCGAUGCGUUCCUUUGACUUCACCAUUGAGAAGGUACUGAGUAUGCACCUCUUCUGUCUCUCUCUCUAUCCUAAGCAACCUUGAUGAAAACCGGAAGCUCUGAUACCACUUGUAGAAUGUAAUUAGCUCAUGUUAACUUAGGUUAGAGGUUAUAUAGAUCUAGGUCUAGUACUGAAAGUAAAGACACAAGCGAUUUAACGACUUCCCGGCCCUCGGCGCGGUACGUGUCGUGGGAGACUUCUGCUCCCAAAAUCUACUAGAUUAAAGAGUCUCUAGCACCACUAAAUCAGUGUGCUAGAUAGGUAGGUUACAAUAAGAUCCCUUCAACUUAGCUAGGGAAUACAACAACCUUAAUAUGAGACAAUAGCCUUAAGUCUAAGCUAGUUGUCCUUGUUGAAGUCUCUUUUCCCUUGAUGCUGUAUCUUGUUGACUGAUCUCUGAUGCUAUAACCUGCUGUUAUUGCUUCUAUCCGGUAACCCUAAUCACCCAUACUAACAUUGUAUAUAUAUGUGUCGUAUGUGAUCAGGUAGUGCAACCUGGAAUGGGCCUGCGCAUGACUUCGGCCCAUCAGAUGUGAUGCUGCUGCUGGCCCAUCACGCAGGGAUAAACCCAAGCUUUCACA
rnacentral:lncRNA from 1 species